ACCAGCGAGUUUGAGUUUGGCUAGAUCCCACCGCAGUGUGGUGGAGUUAAGAGACUGUUCGAAUCUCAACUCCCUCUUGCCCUCUUUGGGGGAAAUCCCUCAGCCUCGGUUUCUUCAUCUGUGAAAUGGACACUCUCAUCGCAUCGGGCAUGACUUUCCAAUUAGGGUAGUGGUAAAAGUCAAAUCAACACUAAAUGCAGAAUGAGGUUAAAUACGUAUCCCAAACCAUGCUAGUUGGUGGCAAAGCUCAAUAUCUGAACAAGAGUUGGGACUAGAAGAGACCUCUGAAGGCAUCUAGUUCAACCCCUUCUUUUAUAGAUGAAGAGACAGAGCCCCAAGGAGGGACAACCUGGAGAAUGGAGAAGACUCCCCUGACCCCGGGAGCAGCCACAGGCGUUCCUGAAGCGCCCCUGCUCUUCCUUUCUGUUACGAGGCUCUCAGGUAUUUGCCGUGAUUGCGAGUCGCUGGAGAACAAAAAUAUUAUACAAUGAUUAACUGAGGACUAAACCAUUAUUAGCAAAGCAAGUCUACAAGAUGACCACAAAGGACUCAGGAUGAAAAUACUCUCCACAGCCAAAGAAGGAACUGUGUACAGAUCAAAGCAUGCCAUCUUCCACUCUACUUCCUUCAUGAGAUGUCUAUUGCAUGUGUGAUAUGUGUCUUCUGCCGUGACAUAAUCAAUAUGGAAAUAUAUUAUUACAUGAAAGCAGGACUAUAAUCUAUACCAGACUAUUCAUCGCCCCAGGGAGGAGGGAGGUUCGGAGGGAGGGAGGGAGACAAUCUGAAUUUGAAGUGUCAAAAAGCAAUUGUCAGAAAGUGUUUUUACAUGUAACUGAAUAAAAAGUAAAUCUGGGAAAAAAUAAAAAUAAAUAAAAAGAUGAUUUAAGAAUCAUCGGCCAUUGGAAGUGGUACUGGAGACAUCUUGUGUGAGGGAAGAUUAGAAGGAAAUGUUCUGCUUUAUAGUCAACAGGUACAGUCAACAGGGGUCUGUUAUUUGGGGGAAUCUUUCAAUCUAUUGGGUAAUGGUAAAGAUGGGAUUUUCUGUGGGAUAUUCCUUGUCUGUUCCCUUCAAACACCCUCAUUAAAGAUAUCCUCCCUGUGUGGCAGAUUAUUCUCAGCUCGUAGGCCAGUACUUGGUAAUUUUUGAUUGGUAGCCUUUUUACUUUAACAUAGUAAUAAGAUGUGAGAUGUUUUCCCAUGCUUUUGGUACACUUCAGAUACUGUGGGAAUCAAUCCCUUUAUACCUUCAAAUACAGCAAUAUAUAAUUGAAAUUAUAAUUAAAUUUCUUAUUUAUUUGAGAUCAUUAGGAUGUGAAAUACAAUAUGUAACCAAAUAGUUAGGAUAACAAGACUUCCAGAACAGAAUUACAGGAUUUCAAAGCGGAAAAGAUCUCAGAGAUCUUCUAGUCCAGCCUGUCCUCAAAAGGAUCCAUGAGGAUGUACCAGCCACCUCCCAAAGCAACCCACUCCACUUUUGGAGAUCUCUAAUUAUUGGGAAAGGCAGCUAGGUGAUGCAGUAGCUAAGAGUGCUGAGCCUAAAAGCCUGAAGACUCAUCUUUCUGAGUUCAGAUCUGGCCCCAGACACUAGUUGUUUGACCCUGGGCAAGUCAUUUAACCCUGUUUGUCUCCGUUUCCUCAUCUGUAAAAUAAACUGGAAAAGGAAAUGGUGAACCAUUACAAUAUCUAAGCACAAAAACUCUACAGGUGGCUCUGACCAGGGCACAGAAAGAGGGACUGUUACUUAUUUAUUGCUGCAAACUAAGACAAAUUUAUUUUUAUGUAAAUAGUCACUGUAAGUGGUUGAAGAGGGUUAGAAAAAGCUUGUUCCCUUAAAUACCUGUAAUCUUAUCUGCAAAUCUGUGCUCCCAUUAAAAAGGGGGUUAGCCACGCAAAAAGCCCCACAACCUGUUUAGUUAGCCCAGAUUUGGCACAAAUGGAAUCCAUAGUGGAGGUUUAAAGUAUAAUUUGAUCCUAGCAGUUCUCUUCUAGGACUGCAUUCAGAUUCAUUAUGACUGCAAAUUGAAUAUAACUGUGUAUGAUAGUCAGAAAUAAUCAGGUCUAGAAAAGGGAAGAUUUUAAAUAAAAUUGGAACAAGUGACUCAGCAAGAGCACUGUACUUAUUAGAUGAAGGCUAUGAGUCACCGUGGUGAAAGGGUCAGCUGGAGAGGAAAGAACAAAAUCUGACCUAAGGAUUUUACUAACAAACCCACCCAGUUUCUCUUUUUUUCCUCUUUGGAUUGGGACUGAGAUUUCAGUGUGUAAUAAACUCCCAUUGAAGAAACUCCCUCUCCCCAGCACAGAUCAGCAACUGGUUGACAAUUUAUCAUCUUGAAAAGGUGCUGAGGGGACUCAGAAGUGGAGGGACUUGCCCAGGGUCCCCAGCAAGUUGCAGAAGACUGGCACCUGACCUUCCGAACGGAGUCAUGCUCCCUUGUCGCCACACUGUGGGAAAAGUCCAUGAUCUGUUUGUGUAACAUAUACCCCUAAGGGAGCUACACAGUGCUCUUCUAGAAUGUAUCGUUUGUCUUGAAUCAGGGCUGGAAAAUUAACGUCAGAACUCCUGACAGCCAUCUUGGCUACUCCACACUGGGAUGAACUUUCAUAGCUGGACCAUAAAAACUCUGGGGUCUGCUGUAGUGAGAAAUGCACCGGAAUUUGAGUGAGGGGAUGGGUUUUUAGUCUCCUAAUCAACCCAGCAGGAUAAGUGGUCAUAAUCAACAUAAUUGACAACUCAUAUUUAUAGGAUGCUUCAAGGUAUAAAGAAGUUCUCUUAAAGAGAGAAAGAACCCUGGGAGCAGAAAUGCAUGAGGAAAUGUGAUUUUUUAAAACCCAGUGGAAUUGUGCAUCAGCUA